rnacentral:rRNA from 1 species
UACGUAGGGUGCGGAGCGUUAAUCGGAAUUACUGGGCGUAAAAGGGUGCGCAGGCGGUUAUAUAAGACAGAUGUGAAAUCCCCGGGCUCAACCUGGGAACUGCGUUUGUGACUGUAUGACUAGAGUACGGUAGAGAGGGGUGGAAUUCCUGGUGUAGCAGUGAAUGCGUAGAUAUCAGGAGGAACAUCGAUGGCGAAGGCAGCCCCUUGGACCUGUACUGACGCUCAUGCACGAAAGCGUGGGGAGCAAACAGG